ACGAACGCUGGCGGCACGCUUAACACAUGCAAGUCGAACGAGAGAAGAGAAGCUUGCUUUUCUGAUCUAGUGGCGGACGGGUGAGUAACACGUGAGCAAUCUGCCUUUCAGAGGGGGAUACCGAUUGGAAACGAUCGUUAAUACCGCAUAACAUAAUUGAACCGCAUGAUUUGAUUAUCAAAGAUUUAUCGCUGAAAGAUGAGCUCGCGUCUGAUUAGCUAGUUGGUAAGGUAACGGCUUACCAAGGCGACGAUCAGUAGCCGGACUGAGAGGUUGAUCGGCCACAUUGGGACUGAGACACGGCCCAGACUCCUACGGGAGGCAGCAGUGGGGAAUAUUGCACAAUGGAGGAAACUCUGAUGCAGCGAUGCCGCGUGAGGGAAGAAGGUUUUAGGAUUGUAAACCUCUGUCUUCAGGGACGAAAAAAGACGGUACCUGAGGAGGAAGCUCCGGCUAACUACGUGCCAGCAGCCGCGGUAAUACGUAGGGAGCGAGCGUUGUCCGGAAUUACUGGGUGUAAAGGGAGCGUAGGCGGGAUCGCAAGUCAGAUGUGAAAACUAUGGGCUUAACCCAUAAACUGCAUUUGAAACUGUGGUUCUUGAGUGAAGUAGAGGUAAGCGGAAUUCCUAGUGUAGCGGUGAAAUGCGUAGAUAUUAGGAGGAACAUCAGUGGCGAAGGCGGCUUACUGGGCUUUAACUGACGCUGAGGCUCGAAAGCGUGGGGAGCAAAAAGGAUUAGAUACCCUGGUAGUCCACGCCGUAAACGAUGAUUACUAGGUGUUGGAGGAUUGACCCCUUCAGUGCCGCAGUUAACACAAUAAGUAAUCCACCUGGGGAGUACGACCGCAAGGUUGAAACUCAAAGGAAUUGACGGGGGCCCGCACAAGCAGUGGAGUAUGUGGAUUAAUUCGAAGCAACGCGAAGAACCUUACCAGGUCUUGACAUCGUAUGCAUAGCUCAGAGAUGAGUGAAAUCUCUUCGGAGACAUAUAGACAGGUGGUGCAUGGUUGUCGUCAGCUCGUGUCGUGAGAUGUUGGGUUAAGUCCCGCAACGAGCGCAACCCUUACUGUUAGUUGCUACGCAAGAGCACUCUAGCAGGACUGCCGUUGACAAAACGGAGGAAGGUGGGGAUGACGUCAAAUCAUCAUGCCCCUUAUGACCUGGGCCUCACACGUACUACAAUGGCUGUCAACAGAGGGAAGCAAAGCCGCGAGGUGGAGCAAACCCCUAAAAGCAGUCUUAGUUCGGAUUGUAGGCUGCAACCCGCCUACAUGAAGUCGGAAUUGCUAGUAAUCGCAGAUCAGCAUGCUGCGGUGAAUACGUUCCCGGGCCUUGUACACACCGCCCGUCACGCCAUGGGAGUCGGUAACACCCGAAGCCUGUAGUCUAACCGCAAGGAGGACGCAGUCGAAGGUGGGAUUGAUGACUGGGGUG
rnacentral:rRNA from 1 species